rnacentral:rRNA from 1 species
GACGAACGCUGGCGGCGUGCUUAACACAUGCAAGUCGAACGGAAAGGCCCUGCUUGCCGGGUACUCGAGUGGCGAACGGGUGAGUAACACGUGGGUGAUCUGCCCUGCACUUCGGGAUAAGCCUGGGAAACUGGGUCUAAUACCGGAUAUGACCUUCCAUGUAGUGUGGGGGGUGGAAAGAUUUAUCGGUGUGGGAUGAGCCCGCGGCCUAUCAGCUUGUUGGUGGGGUAAUGGCCUACCAAGGCGUCGACGGGUAGCCGGCCUGAGAGGGUGGACGGCCACAUUGGGACUGGGAUACCGCCCAGACUCCUACGGGGGGCAGCAGUGGGGAAUAUUGCACAAUGGGCGGAAGCCUUAUGCAGCGACGCCGCGUGGGGGAUGACGGCCUUCGGGUUGUAAACCUCUUUCGACAGGGACGAAGCUUCGGUGACGGUACCUGUAUAAGAAGCACCGGCUAACUACGUG